UGGGGAAUAUUGCACAAUGGGGGAAACCCUGAUGCAGCGACGCCGCGUGAAGGAAGAAGUAUCUCGGUAUGUAAACUUCUAUCAGCAGGGAAGAUAGUGACGGUACCUGACUAAGAAGCCCCGGCUAACUACGUGCCU
rnacentral:rRNA from 1 species